GACGAACGCUGGCGGCGUGCUUAACACAUGCAAGUCGAACGGACAGGCCCUGCUUUUGUUCGGUGCUCGUGUGGCGAACGGGGGAGUAACACGUGAGUAACAUGUCCCUGACUUUCGGAUAACUUCAGGAAACAGCGGAUCAUAUCGGAUAGGAUCUCCUGCUGCAUGGUGUGGGUUGGAAAGAUUCGGCGGUUGGGGCUGGACUCGCGGCUUCUCGGCUUGUUGGUGGGGUAGUGGCGUACCCAGGCUUUGAGGGGUAGCCGGCAUGAGAGGGUGGCCGGCGACAUUGGGACUGAGAUACGGCCCAGUCUCGAACGGGACGCAACAGUGGAGAGUAUUACACAGUGGGCGGGAGCCAGAUGCGACAACGCCGCGUGCGGGAUGACGGGCUUCGAGUUGAAAACCACUUUCGCCUGUGCCGAAGCGUGAGUGACGGUAAUGGGUAAAGAAGCACCGGCUAACUACGUG
rnacentral:rRNA from 1 species